rnacentral:rRNA from 1 species
AAUGAACGCUGGCGGCAGGCCUAACACAUGCAAGUCGAACGGAUCCUUCGGGAUUAGUGGCGGACGGGUGAGUAACGCGUGGGAACAUACCCAAAGGUACGGAAUAGCCUCGGGAAACUGGGAGUAAUACCGUAUGUGCUCGAAAGAGGAAAGAUUUAUCGCCUUUGGAUUGGCCCGCGUUGGAUUAGGUAGUUGGUGGGGUAAUGGCCUACCAAGCCGGAGAUCCGUAGCUGGUUUGAGAGGAUGAUCAGCCACACUGGGACUGAGACACGGCCCAGACUCCGACGGGAGGCAGCAGUGGGGAAUCUUAGACAAUGGGGGAUACCCUGAUCUAGCCAUGCCGCGUGAACGAUGAGGGCCUUAGGGUUGUAAAGGUAUUUCAGGUGGUAAGAUAAUGACUGUACCACCAGAAGAAGCCCCGGCUAACUCCGUGCCAGCCGCCGCCGUAA